CAAGAUGCCUUUAACUGCGGGGAGAAACCACUGUUUGGCAGUAACACUGAUGUCCACACGGUGGCGUCCCUGCUGAAGCUGUACCUCAGAGAGCUGCCAGAGCCUGUGGUGCCUUUCAACAAAUACACAGAGUUCCUCUCCACUGCUCAGCUCCUGGCCAAGGACCAGGAGGAGGGGAUCCUUGAGCUGGGCAGGCAGUUGAAGAGUCUUCCUCAGGUCAACUACAACCUCCUCAGAUAUGUCUGCAGGUAAAAAUAUGCUCUACCAGAUG